CCUACGGAGGACAGCAGUGGGGAAUAUUGGGCAAUGGGCGCAAGCCUGACCCAGCAACGCCGCGUGAAGGAAGAAGGCUUUCGGGUUGUAAACUUCUUUUCUCAGGGACGAAGCAAGUGACGGUACCUGAGGAAUAAGCCACGGCUAACUACGUGCCAGCAGCCGCGGUAAUACGUAGGUGGCAAGCGUUAUCCGGAUUUACUGGGUGUAAAGGGCGUGUAGGCGGGAAAGCAAGUCAGAUGUGAAAACCAUGGGCUCAACCUGUGGCCUGCAUUUGAAACUGGUUUUCUUGAGUACUGGGGAGGCAGACGGAAUUCCUAGUGUAGCGGUGAAAUGCGUAGAUAUUAGGAGGAACACCAGUGGCGAAGGCGGUCUGCUGGACAGCAACUGACGCUGAGGCGCGAAAGCGUGGGGAGCAAACAGGAUUAGAUACCCCUGUAGUC
rnacentral:rRNA from 1 species